rnacentral:rRNA from 1 species
GACGAACGCUGGCGGCGUGCUUAACACAUGCGAGUCGAACGGAAAGGCCCUGCGUUUGUGGUGUGCUCGAGUGGCGAACGGGUGAGUAACACGUGAGUAACCUGCCCUUGACUUUGGGAUAACUUCAGGAAACUGGGGCUAAUACCGGAUAGGAGCUCCUGCUGCAUGGUGGGGGUUGGAAAGUUUCGGCGGUUGGGGAUGGACGCGCGGCUUAUCAGCUUGUUGGUGGGGUAGUGGCUUACCAAGGCUUUGACGGGUAGCCGGCCGGAGCGGGUGCACGGCCCCAUCGGCAACGGGAGGCGGCAGAGGCGAAUACGGGAGGAAGGGGGGGAGCAUAUUCCAGACAGGCCGCGAGCGUGAUGCAGCACCGCCGCGUGCGGGAUGCCGGUCUUCGGGAUGAAAACCGCUUUCGCCUGGGACGAAGGGUGUGAGACGAUCAUGAGUAAAGAAGCAGGGGCUCACUGCG